rnacentral:sRNA from 1 species
UGUUAUAUGCCUUUAUUGUCACAUACUGCUUUUUUGUUGGUCCAUUGCGAAACGUACUGAUUUGCCGACAAGAAACUGACAAGCCCGAACAGAUGUUCGGGCUUUUUUUUGCGU